UCCUAGCGGCGCCUAGUGGGCUGGGCCUCUGCGGCCGGGGACCCUGGGGUCCGCGCGCGCGGAUGUCGCCCCACGAGGCGGAGGAUUGAGAAAGGGCCGGGCUGACAACCUCUUCCUGUGCAGCGAUCUCUACAGCGCCCAUGCUGUGACCCCUCCAGCUGACUGGCACAUGGAGACAGCCAGCUCCAGGAGGUUGCUCAGCAGUGUGGAGCCUGCCCAGAGCAGGAAUCCACUGGGCGACCAUUGGCUGUUAAGAAGACAGUUGCUUUAAUAAAGCCUCUUUACAGCCACAGCUGUUGCAAAUCCAAUACUGU